UGGCUUUUUUCUCUUUAACCCAGGAAUCAGCAAUAUUCUGCAAGAUAGUGGAUCCACUUGAACAUUUCACAGCCUUAUGCCAGAUUAAACCAUAUUUAGAAGUCACUGAAUUCCUGAUGUUUUUAGAGGAAAAUAUCCCUGGGAGGAAAACCCUCUGAGAUUUCAUUGAAGUAAUCUACACUCUGAAGUGAUGGGAGCAGAAGGCAGAUCGAGAUUGUGUUGCAACUAUGGAGUAAGAUCUAUAUUUAUAGUGUGAAGAGAAUUUGUACAGAAGCCACAGUUGUCUCUCUGCCUGGCGUGACAUAUCUGUUCUGCAAUAAUGUUGUGUAACCUUCUGAAGAGCAACCUCCACUUUCUUGUGAAGAAGGAGCUAUCUCUUUGAAAUACUGUUGUGGCAGCCAUCAAAAAGGUGC